UGAGGCAUGUUUGUGUGACUGGACGAAUUGCUAGAGGAUAUAUAGUCCCAUAAGAUGUGCAGUUCCAUCAGGUUGGUAAUGAAGGGAUUGAUGAUACCAUAACCCCCAAGUCCUAUCUAAAGCAUCAGUCCAGACACACAAACGGGGCCUUACAGUACUCUCUCUCUCUCUCUCUCUCUCUCUCUCUCUCUCUCUCUCUCUCUAUAUAUAUAUAUAUAUAUAUAUAUAUAUAUAUACA